CCAGUUCUGCAGAGAGGAGCAGAACUCCGUGGUAUGUUCCUGUGCCAGCGGGUACAUCCUGGAUGACAAUGGCAAGUCCUGCAUCUCCACAGAGCCUUAUCCCUGUGGGAAACUCACUCUGCCACAGAGGAGGAGGCCGGGGUCCCUGACCACCCACAGCAGCGAGGAUCCCCCACAAGACAGUGGAGACCUGGAUCCCACCACGAACCCUUUCAAUGGAAACCUGGAUCCAACCACAAACCCUUUCUAUGGAGACCUGGAUCCGACCACAAACCCUUUCUAUGGAGACCUGGAUCCCACCACGAACCCUUUUGAUGGAGACCUGGAUCCCACCACGAACCCUUUCGAUGGAGACCUGGAUCCCACCACAAACCCUUUCGAUCUGCCGGGCUUAAAUAACACAGAGCCGAACUCUGCAGAGGAGGAGAACUCACGUGUCAGGAUAGUGGGAGGGAGGGACUGCAAAGAUGGCGAGUGUCCCUGGCAGGCUCUGCUCAUCAAGGAGAACAAUGAAGGCUUCUGUGGAGGCACCAUCCUGAAUGAGUUCUACAUCCUCACUGCCGCUCAUUGUCUUAACCAAGAAAAGCCAUUCAAGG